AAGUGUCUCUAAUUGUUAGUGAAGAAAACUCACCUACUGCUGGACAUGAUUCGAAUGCAAGACCCUCUGCUGGUCUAGAAUCUGCCGAUGGUGAAUCAUACAGGAUUCCUCCCUCCUCGUCACUGGAAAUUGAAGAGCAACAUGAGGAGCUGGCAGAAUCUAACCCCAGCACGGAUGCUCCCCUGCCAGAGACAUCUAAUGCAGACUCUAAUUCUGGCAUUGAGAAAGCUACAACGAGCACAGAUGAUCCCCUGCCGGAAGCAUCUAAUGCAGACUCUAACUCUGGGGUUGAGGGGGCUGCAACCAGCAUAGAAUAUGUUGUUUGUAACUCAGAUGCUCCCCUGCUUGAGACAUCUAAUGCAGACAACUCUGGGGUUGAGGGGGCUGCAAAUGCAG